UAAAAGCACGUGAAGCCGUUGAAAGGGAAACGCGCUCGGCUAGCAAUGUGCCACGACGGUUCAGCCGUUUUGGGCGGAGAGGUGGUAGCUGUCGGAUCCGAAGGACUGCGGUUGCCAUCGUCUACGUCCGAAAUGCGGUGCACUCUUUCGUGGUACGCGUCAGCGUCGGUUCGCAGCGGGCGACAAGGCCUUGUGGAAGGUGGCUCGAGCUUGCUCGAGUGUUACAGACUCAGGUGCUGGGUCUGCUGCGGACCGAGGAGAGAGAGUAUCGUUGCAGCGCAUGCCGCAAGGCUAGCUACCUGUUGCCCGGCUCGCUUCACGAACUGAGGACUGCACGCAGUGCUCGGAUCGGCGGAGUGGUCGGGUGAUGGUGUGGUAUAAAUGCGCUCAGGACGCUGGCGUCCAAAUGGCCGUGCGCGA
rnacentral:rRNA from 1 species